ensembl:lncRNA
AGCCGGUAGCGCUGUAUCCUUGAGCUGGAGUUCUGGAUGUGUCGGCCGCGCGAGCCGCCAUUUCAAAGCAAACUGGGAUAAUAUUUAUGUAUAUAUAUACACCGAAUUUAGUUUUAUAUAUUUUAUUGCAAACAGGUGCAUUUACUUUUUUAAUUUUACACCAAACGUCGCAUUACAUCCAAACUUUUUUCUUGCGGAGAUGGAUGGUGAAGCGGCGCAGGUUGCAGAACACACAGAGACCAGUGCAGCUUCUACGGAAGGAGUCACAUCCAUCAACAAAGCCAGGGGUAGGGGGUCUAAAGGCCCUGGUCGAGAGGGCCGGACAGCUAGAGGUGGACGUGGUGGGAGGAGUAUGAUGAUGAAGGCACAUGGUCCCUCUGGACGAGCCAGAGGAAGAGGCAGAGAUGCAGCAAUGAAUGGCUUUGGACCGGGAAGGUACUGUUAAUAUCAGAACUGAAAAAAACAAUUACACAGCACCUGAUGUGUCCAGACGCAAGAAUCUAAGACCGAAGCAGAUAAUCAAGGAAAGUCAGUGUUGAGUCAUUCAGUUUCACAGGUUUCCUGCAUUAUUGCAGACGAGCUAUGGGAAGGAUGCGGCCGUACCCUGAACUCCGAGGUCACCAGGGAGGGCGGGGUGGACCCAUGGGAUUGGGGCGCCCCCCUCCUCUUCCUCCCCCUCCUCCCCCUCCACCAAUGCACAUGAGAGGUCCUUACCCACCCAUGCACAGGUACCAAGCUAUGAGAAUUUCCACACAAAUUCUCUCUUCCGCAGAAAAUCACGUGUUAAUUUUAGAUUGAAAUGUCUGUGGGGAACAUUUUAUUUUUGGAAAUUUGUAGAUAUUUUUCUCUUUCUGCAAUAGUGUUUCAGUUUUAUUGUACCUUGACUACAACGUACUGGAGUGCAUCAACUGGAAGAUGGCUCAUUUUGAAAUUAUUCUUAGUGUGCAUGCUGGUGCAUUGUUCUCCUAAUAGGCCUGGCCCUCCACCCCCACCCCCACCAGGGCAUCCUGGCUUUAGGGGACACCCCCCUCACCUCCGGGGUCGAGGAAUGCACCCAGGUCCGCCUUGCCAUUUCCGCCCCAGAGGCUUCUACUGUGGACCGCCCACUCCUCCGCCUCCCCCACCACCUGGCAGAGGCCAGCGCUGGCCGGGGCCUCCCGUUGGCCGGCGCUUUUAAAUCUGCUUACUGUUUAACGCUUAGCACCUUUUUAAUAGGGGCCCACGUUUAGGUGUAACGGGACGCUCGCUUUUCAAGCACCUUGAGCUCCUCACAAAGACUUUGUAGGGAAAUGUUUGGUCUCAACUCACAGUGGAGGCACCACACACGCAAAAGGGCCUCAGAUCACGUAAAGAACGGACAUCUUGCCUGUUUUAUGCCGAGACGCAGCGUUUCAAACCCUCCUCUCCUUCUCUAAAACCUGCGUUUUAAUGAAGCGAGAAGAUACCUUUAGGCAUAGGGAAAUACUACUCUGUUGUCGAAAGGGACAAAAAGUUGACUUAUCAGUUCCGCAUCUGGCUGUUCUUGGAUCACAACCAGAUGUUUUUUGCUGCCAAAGUAGUUGCUUGACAGUAUUGAAGGAAUUUUUAAAGAAACUGAGAAAAAGAAUAAAAAAAGAGAAAGAGAAGCCA